GACGAACGCUGGCGGCGUGCCUAAUACAUGCAAGUUGAGCGAUGAAGAUUGGUGCUUGCACCAAUUUGAAGAGCAGCGAACGGGUGAGUAACGCGUGGGGAAUCUGCCUUUGAGCGGGGGACAACAUUUGGAAACGAAUGCUAAUACCGCAUAACAACUUUAAACAUAAGUUUCAAGUUUGAAAGAUGCAAUUGCAUCACUCAAAGAUGAUCCCGCGUUGUAUUAGCUAGUUGGUGAGGUAAAGGCUCACCAAGGCGAGGAUACAUAGCCGACCUGAGAGGGUGAUCGGCCACAUUGGGACUGAGACACGGCCCAAACUCCUACGGGAGGCAGCAGUAGGGAAUCUUCGGCAAUGGACGAAAGUCUGACCGAGCAACGCCGCGGGAGUGAAGAAGGUUUUCGGAUCGUAAAACUCUGUUGGUAGAGAAGAACGUUGGUGAGAGUGGAAAGCUCAUCAAGUGACGGUAACUACCCAGAAAGGGACGGCUAACUACGUG
rnacentral:rRNA from 1 species